AUUGAACGCUGGCGGCAGGCUUAACACAUGCAAGUCGAGCGGAGAUGAGGUGCUUGCACCUUAUCUUAGCGGCGGACGGGUGAGUAAUGCUUAGGAAUCUGCCUAUUAGUGGGGGACAACAUUCCGAAAGGAAUGCUAAUACCGCAUACGCCCUACGGGGGAAAGCAGGGGAUCUUCGGACCUUGCGCUAAUAGAUGAGCCUAAGUCGGAUUAGCUAGUUGGUGGGGUAAAGGCCUACCAAGGCGACGAUCUGUAGCGGGUCUGAGAGGAUGAUCCGCCACACUGGGACUGAGACACGGCCCAGACUCCUACGGGAGGCAGCAGUGGGGAAUAUUGGACAAUGGGCGGAAGCCUGAUCCAGCCAUGCCGCGUGUGUGAAGAAGGCCUUUUGGUUGUAAAGCACUUUAAGCGAGGAGGAGGCUACUUAGAUUAAUACUCUAGGAUAGUGGACGUUACUCGCAGAAUAAGCACCGGCU
rnacentral:rRNA from 1 species